rnacentral:rRNA from 1 species
ACGACUUCCAUACUCGUGUGAAGAGUUUUGAUCAUGGCUCAGAUUAAUGCUGGCGGCAGGCCUAAUAUGCAAGUCGAGCGGUAGCACAAGAGAGCUUUGCCUUCUGGUGACGAGCGGCGGACGGGUGAGUAAUGUCUGGGAAACUGCCUGAUGGAGGGGGAUAACUACUGGAAACGGUAGCUAAUACCGCAUAACGUCUACGGACCAAAGUGGGGGACCUUCGGGCCUCACGCCAUCAGAUGUGCCCAGAUGGGAUUAGCUAGUAGGUGGGUAAUGGCUCACCUAGGCGACGAUCCCUAGCUGGUCUGAGAGGAUGACCAGCCACACUGGAACUGGAGACACGGUCCAGACUCCUACGGGAGGCAGCAGUGGGGGAAUAUUGCACAAUGGGCGCAAGCCUGAUGCAGCCAUGCCGCGUGUGAAGAAGGCCUUAGGGUUGGGAAGCACUUUCAGCGAGGAGGAAGGGUGAUGUGUUAAUAGCACAUUGCAUUGACGUUACUCGCAGAAGAAGCACCGGCUAACUCCAGGCCAGCAGCCGCGGUAAUACGGAGGGUGCAAGCGUUAAUCGGAAUUACUGGGCGUAAAGCGCACGCAGGCGGUUUGUUAAGUCAGAUGUGAAAUCCCCGCGCUUAACGUGGGAACUGCAUCUGAAACUGGCAAGCCAGGAGUCUUGUAGAGGGGGGUAGAAUUCCAGGUGUAGCGGGUGGAAAUGCGUAGAGAUCUGGAGGAAUACCGGUGGCGAAGGCGGCCCCCUGACAAAGACUGACGUCAGGUGCGAAAGCGGGGAGCAAACAGGAUUAGAUACCCUGGUAGUCCACGCUGUAAACGAUGUCGAUUUGGAGGUUGUGCCCUUGAGGCGUGGCUUCCGGAGCUAACGCGUUAAAUCGACCGCCUGGGGAGUACGGGCUGCAAGGUUAAAACUCAAAUGAAUUGACGGGGGCCCGCACAAGCGGUGGGAGCAUGUGGUUUAAUCUCGAUGCAACGCGAAGAACCUUACCUACUCUUGACAUCCGUGAGAAUUCGCUAGAGAUAGCUUAGUGCCUUCGGGAACUCUGAGACAGGUGCUGCAUGGCUGUCGUCAGCUCGUGUUGUGAAAUGUUGGGUUAAGUCCCGCAACGAGCGCAACCCUUAUCCUUUGUUGCCAGCGAUUCGGUCGGGAACUCAAAGGAGACUGCCGGUGAUAAACCGGAGGAAGGUGGGGAUGACGUCAAGUCAUCAUGGCCCUUACGAGUAGGGCUACACACGUGCUACAAUGGCGUAUACAAAGAGAAGCGAACUCGCGAGAGCAAGCGGACCUCAUAAAGUACGUCGUAGUCCGAUUGAGUCUGCGACUCGACUCCAUGAAGUCGGAAUCGCUAGUAAUCGUAGAUCAGAAUGCUACGGUGAACAUUGCCCGGGCCUUGUACACACCGCCCGUCACACCAUGGGAGUGGGUUGCAAAAGAAGUAGGUAGCUUAACCUUCGGAGGGCGCUUACCACUUUGUGAUUCAUGACUGGGGUGAAGUCGUAACAAGGUAACCGUCACACGAGUAUGGAAGUCGUUCUGUCAUUACGAAGAUGCGAUCCAUAAACAAUCUACCGAAAUCGGAACGAAGUACAA